GCCCAAGGGCCUGGCUGUUUACCCCACCUCUGCGCCCUGCCCGCGUGCUUGUGGCCCUGGGGGUCCCGGGACUCCUGCCCUCCAGGCCCCAGGCUCACGGGAACUGGUCCUGUCUAGACACCAGGAGCAGAGCAAUGAACACGGAGAAGAGCAAGAGCUGGCAGAGUGCUGGGGGAGCCCUUCGGCACUGCUGGUGGGGUGUCCUUGGGCCCAGCCCCAAACAUCCACAGGUCCCUGGAAACACUAGAAAUGACCCUCCCACACAACCUGGCGGUCGCUCUCUAAGCAUCUACCCAAGCAUGCACACAAGACGGACAGAAAUCUGCGUGCAGUGCUGUUCCUUGUGGUGCUACGUAUGCUACCCAAAAUGUGGUAAAGGACAAGUAUUGCCGCGGUUGCACGGUGGAAUUCUAUACAACUCUGAUCAAAGAUGAAGAUUUCUCUGUGAUGUCGGUAACACAAAUGGAGCUGGAGAGAAUUGCAUUGGGAGAAAUGGACCAGGAGGAUGAAGUGUGCUGGGAACAGUGGUGUGGCUGCCAGGCUGAGGGAGGACAGUUCCAGGCUUGGCCAGAGCAAAACCUCCAGCUCUCGCCUCGGGCCAGGGCUCACACCACUAGCUCGUCCGACCCUGGCUUUUCGGCUGCAGGGACCUGACUAGAAUUUCAGUGGAGAAGACGCCCUGCCCCACCCCAGGUAGAAAGCGCAUUCUGUCUCCGUAGCUGGCGGCUGAACAGGAUGGGAAGCAACCCUGUGGAGCCAAGCUUCUGCCUGUCCCCAGAAGAUGCAGGCGAGAAGCCCUUUCAGCCGUGAGCAGCCCUCCAGCCACUGCCUCUUCCGCCUCACCUUCAGGGCAGAGGCCUGACGGAUUUUCUGACACACACCCCCACCCCCAACCUCUGCUAGUGGAUAUUUCUGUCUGUCUGUUCCAAUAAACUU